AUUGAACGCUGGCGGCAGGCCUAACACAUGCAAGUCGAACGAGUGGCGGACGGGUGAGUAGUGUCUGGGAAACUGCCCGAUGGAGGGGGAUAACUGCUGGAAACGGUAGCUAAUACCGCAUACUAUCAGAUGUGCCCAGAUGGGAUUAGCUUGUAGGUGAGGUAACGGCUCACCUAGGCGACGAUCCCUAGCUGGUCUGAGAGGAUGACCAGCCAGACUGGAACUGAGACACGGUACAGAGUCCUACGGGAGGCAGCAGUGGGGAAUAUUGCACAAGGGGUGCAAGCCUGAUGCAGCCAUGCCGCGUGUAUGAAGAAGGCCUUCGGGUUGUAAAGUACUUUCAGCGGGGAGGCGUUACCCGCAGAAGAAGCACCGGCUAACUCCGUGCCAGCAGCCGCGGUAAUUC
rnacentral:rRNA from 1 species